rnacentral:lncRNA from 13 species
AUGGAUUCAGUGGACCCUGGAGCCUCACACAGCAAUACAGCCUCGGCAGAUGGGAACAAUGGGGAUGAUGCUACCAAUGCAGUCAGUGCAUGUUUCUCCUCAAUUAUAGACAGGGCAGGGGAUACUGGUAAUUCAGGACAUGCGAGGGAAACCGAUGCAGAGGAUUCACAGAUGGUGGAAGAAACAGUAAAAACAGAUGCCUUGCUGACUGUGGUAGAAAUGGACAGUAAAGAGGAUUCACAGACUGAAAGAGAAACAGCCAGUGUGGAUGUUCCACAGAUGGAAAGAGAAACAGCCAGUGUGGAUGUUCCACAGACGGACANGGAAACAGCCCGUGCGGGUGCCUCUCAGACAGUCAGAGAGAAAAUUGGGACAGAUGCACCCCAGACUGUGGAAAAAAUAGGCAGUACAAGUGGUUCACAGACUAAUGGAGAAACAGACAUACCCCUGGACAUGGGAGUAGUGGAUGCUGACGAUGAGAUGGAGGUUAAUGCUAUCAAAGUGGAGGAUGACCAGAUGCAGGAGGAAGACAACUUGGAGGGGAUGCCUGUGAUAACAGCUGUGGAAGAGGAAGGCAAAAUGGUUGCUUUUAGCAGCAACUCCCUGGAUCAUGGGGAUGAGGUGGAGAAGAUGGACACGGGGACAGACUCACUGACAGAGAACGAGGUAGAGGAACCCAGCAAGACCGGGCAAGUGGAGAAGACUAAUUCCAUGCCUUCUAUCAUGGAUACAGUCUCCAUGACAGGAGACACAGAGCAACCUGCUGAGGAGACCAGCGUUGUGAAGGCUAGCGGCUCGUCUCUGCCUAUGGAGGAGGACCAAUCUGAAGAUGUCAAACCGUUUCACCCCAGUCCCACCACCUCUAGCGAAGCUAUUCACCCACAGAACAGUGAAGGCAUCGACUGUCCUGCAGGGCUGGAGAAUGGAGUGGCAGGACAGCCAGUCAAAGUUGUGGCUUCUGCCCAGUUGGCAGCUGAGCCUGUGUCCACCAGCGUGGAAACCAUCUCCAUGGUCAAGGUGAAGGAUGAGCCCGUGGACGAGGAGUAUGAUCAGGCCCUGGCUCCAGCAGUCCUCUCAGAGGGCGUCAAGGAUGAACCAGACGCAGCAGAGGUACGGCAUCUCUAAACUCACUGGUCCUCAGCAACGGCCAAGUCUUAACUGGACAUUUCUGUUGUGAGUUACAUGGAAGUCGUACGUUGAAAUUGGAGGUCGACCGAUUAUGAUUUUUCAAAGCCGAUACCGAUUAUUGGAGGACCAAAAAAGCCGAUACCGAUUAAUCAGACAAUUUUUAUUUUACAUUUGUAAUAAUGACAAUUACAACAAUACUGAAUUAACACUUAUUUUAACUUAAUAUAAAACAUCAAUAAAAAUCAAUUUAGCCUCAAAUAAAUAAUGAAUGUUCAAUUUUUGUUUAAAUAAUGCAAAAACAAAGUGUUGGAGAAGAAAGUAAUGUGUGCCAUGUAAAAUAUGUGCCAUGUAAAAAAGCUCACGUUUAAGUUCCUUGCUCAGAACAUGAGAACAUAUGAAAGUUGGCGGUUCCUUUUAACAUGAGACUUCAAUAUUCCAAGGUAAGAGGUUUUAGGUUGUAGUUAAUAUAGUAUUUAUAGGACUAUUUCUAUACCAUUUGUAUUUCAUAUACCUUUGACUAUUGGAUGUUCUUAUAGGCACUAUAGUAUUGCCAGUGUAACAGUAUAGCUUCCGUACCCCUCCUCGCCCCUACCUGGGCUCGAACCAGGAACACAUCGACAACAGCCACACUCGAAGCAUCGUUACCCAUCGCUCCACAAAAGCCGCGGCCCUUGCAGCGCAAGGGGAAUAACUACUCCAAAUCUAAAAGCGAGUGACGUUUGAAACAGUAUUAGCGCACACCCAGCUAACUAGCUAGCCAUUUCACAUUGGUUACACCAGCCAUUAGGCUGAUAGGCUUGAAGUCAUUAACAGCGCUGUGCUUGCGAAGAGCUGCUGGCAAAACGCACGAAAGUGCUGUUUGAAUGAAUGAUUACGGGCCUGCUGCUGCUCAGUCAGACUGCUCUAUCAAAUCAGACUUAAUUAUAACAUAAUAACACACAGAAAUACGAGCCUUUGGUCAUUAAUAGGAUCGAAUCCGGAAACUAUCAUUUAGAAAACAAAACGUUAAUUAUUUCAGUGAAAUACGGAACCGUUCGGUUUUUUAUCUAACGGCUGGCAUCCCUAAGUCUAAAUAUUCUUGUUACAUUGCACAACCUUCAAUGUAUGUCAUAAUUACGUACAAUUCUGGCAAAUUAGUUCGCAAUGAGCCAGGCAGCCCAAACUGUUGCAUAUACUCUGACUCUGGUUAAUAUUGCCUGCUAAACUGGAUUAGUAGUUAUAGUGAUUAUGAUUGAUUGUUUUAUAUAAGAUAAGUUUAAUGCUAGCUAGCAAUUUACCUCGGCUUCUACUGCAUUUGCGUAACAGGUAGGCUACUCGUGGAGUGCAGUGGUUAGAGCAUUGGACUAGUUAACUAUGCGGUUGCAAGAUUGGAACCCCUGAGCUGUCAAGGUGAAAAUCUGUCGUUCUGCCCCUGAACAAGGCAGUUAAUCCACAGUUCCUAGGCAGUCAUUGAAAAUAAGAAUGUGUUCUUAACUGACUUGCCUAGUUAAAUAAAGGUAUAAAAAAGAAUAAUAAUUUUUAAAAAACGAUAAUCGGCGCCCAAAAAUACAGAUUUCCGAUUGUUAUGAAAACUUGAAAUCGGCCCUAAUUAAUCGGCCAUUCCGAUUAAUCGGUCGACCUCUAGUUGAUAUCAAUGCGUAUAGUUCAAGCUGUGUGUGUGUGUGUUUUUUAAUCCCAAAUCCUGUGUGCAUGUUAAAUGUAUGUCACCGUUGUUAUUUACAGGAGUUGAAAAUCAGCAACGUCUUCUCUGUGGGCGGCUGCCCAACUACGAACGGUGAGCAGGGGACUUUAAUAUUUGUACACAACAGGACCCAUUAGUGGUCGGUCAAGCCCUAAGCUAUGUCUUAACCUAGCUGCAGAUUUCUUUUCUGAAUCAGAAAGGGGUUUAGGUGGUGGGCGUGGCAGGGGGAGCGCCAAUGGGUGAGGUCAGCCUGUAGACGCAGCUGAAUUCAGGAGAACAUUUUAAAGGCCAUUAUCUUGGCGGUGUAGAUUGUUUAAUUUUUUAUUACAUUUCCUGCAAUUCUACAAUUUUCUCCAUGGGAGAAAGCUAAUUUCUUGUGAAAAUACAUAUUCUGCCAUGGAUGUGAGAACUUUGCAGUUUUAAAUCUAAUUUCCUACAAUUCUAUGCAUUUUGCCAUGGCUAAUGCUGUGUUCUUUUUCUCAAACAUAAUAACAAAAAUGAAUACUGCUAAAUAAAUUGUAUUUGUUAUUUUAAAUUCUCCUUCACUUUCUAGCUCUUAUUUUGGUAAUUGUUAGUUCUCAAAGAUUGUUAUAAAAAUAUAUAGGGCCAUUAUCUAUUCUACAUGCUUUUAUUUCUGGUAUUAGUCGUUUACACUGAAAGCGUUUUUAACAUCCCCAAUAUGUAUAAAAAAAAAAAA